rnacentral:sRNA from 1 species
UAAAGCCAACAUAAACUAACUAAUCAUGC